rnacentral:rRNA from 1 species
UACGGGGGGGGCAAGCGUUGUUCGGAAUUACUGGGCGUAAAGGGCGCGUAGGCGGCCUUCUAAGUCGGACGUGAAAUCCCUCGGCUCAACCGGGGAACUGCGUCCGAUACUGGAGGGCUUGAAUCCGGGAGAGGGAUGUGGAAUUCCAGGUGUAGCGGUGAAAUGCGUAGAUAUCUGGAGGAACACCGGUGGCGAAGGCGGCAUCCUGGACCGGCAUUGACGCUGAGGCGCGAAAGCCAGGGGAGCAAAGCGGG